GUUUCCCAGUGCUAAAACUGGUGAGAGAAUGAGAAGGCUUUUGUGGUGCUUUGUGGGACUCCAUCUUCCUGGACAGUAGUCAUCACUCCGGUCCUGUGGCCGCUGCCACCAGGCAGUGAUGAGCAAAGAUGCUAAAACGCGGAUCUCACACUUGCCCCUGAACCUGCUCCUCUGGACAGCAGCCAUGUGAUGGCCUCUCUGUCCCAAGUCCCCACCAGGGUCAGAAGUCCCUCAGCAGCUCUAGCUUCUUCAUACCUCUCACCCUCGUUGUGGGGUUCCCAAUGUUAUUGAUGCCUAAUGAAUCAUUUCCUUCACCAGAGUCCUGUUGCCUUUGCGCUGGGACUCUGGUGCCUGGGCACAUGCUCUGGCAGCUGCCCUGACAGGACCUGCGACUCCACAGGCAUCUGAGGCUCCUGCCUGCGACCAGCAGAAUAAAACCUAUCUCAGGCCAACCCUGUCUGGACUCAGGCGGCCAGGCCAUCAUCAGAGGCUUGCAACCGCAAUGUAAAUAGAUGUGCCGGGCUCACAGUCUGGAAUCCACCCUCGUCCUUCCCCACGUCCUGACCCUGUUCUUGGAAGGUGUCAACUGCCAGGGGAAUCCUCUUCAGUCAGUCUCCUCGUCUUUCUCAGCCUCUCUGACAUCAUCUGUAUUCUGAUGGAACAACCCUCUCUUCAUCAACCCACAGGGACGGGACAAUUGCUGGAGCCACCAGAGCGGAUCAAGGCAUGAUUCUUGGCACAGUGGGCUCUCUGUGUUCCCAGCCACAUGCUUGUCAAGAUGAAGUGUGCGCAAGGACCAGAGAUCCGCGGGGCACACGGCGGGUCCUCAUUGGUUGACCAAACCAGCCUGCAGCAGAUUCAUGGCCAAGCCCAAAGUCUGGGAAAUAUUGAAGUGAACUGAGACAUUUAGCCCAGAACCCCAAUGCAGGUGAACAGCCCAGACCAGCAGGGAGAUCCUAACUCCAUUCUGCAUCUAUGCUAAAGUACAGCCCACAGCCAUAGCAGGGCUCACAGAAACUAGUUAUGCUUUUGUUGAAUAUGGUCUGAGAAGCCCACAGAGGCUAGGUAAGAGGCCACUGUGAAGAGGGGGUGUGUGUUCCUUUAUGGAGAUGCUCAUGUCCCUAUGGCCAUUCAGGCCCUAGGGACAAAACGGACUGAGAUGGUCAAGUCUCAGCUCUACGGAAGGCAGAUUCCCAGAGAAGGAUGAAGCUCCUCUGAGCUCAUCAUUGUCUUCCCACGAUAGCCCACAUCUCCUGAACGCUGGGAGAAAACACUCUGAAAGCCCAUUUCAAAGUCUGCAUUUGUUCAGCUCCUGCCCACACACUCCUCCUUCCCCAGGGUCACCUUUCCUGAGGGCAGCUCCCCUCCUGCCCUCCAAGCCCGCUCCUUGUGUGGAUCCAAGAACUCCCUAUGCUUUUCUCCUGUGCUCCUGUGUGUUAGCAUGUCAUGAGUGUGUGGAGUACAUGUGUGAGCGACGGAGCCCCAUGUGGCUAAGCUCUGUCCCCAUCUUGCCACUGCUUAGGAUCCUCUGUACCCAGAACACAUUGUACGGCAGA